AUGAGCAUGUAAAACAGUAAUAAGAAGCAUAUAAAAUGGUUGGACAGAGUGAUAUUCAGAUCCAACAGCAGGUUAACCUAGAAGAAAUUCCAACCAUUUUAUUAGCAAAGAAGAUUUUUGUUUGAAUGAAAAUGCU